GGCGCGGUAGCCAAGUGGGAAGGUGAGGGCCGGCAAAGCCCAAUUCGGUGGUUCGAUUCCACCCCGCGCCUCCA
rnacentral:tRNA from 1 species